UACGUAGGGUCCGAGCGUUGUCCGGAAUUACUGGGCGUAAAGAGCUCGUAGGUGGUUUGUCGCGUUGUUCGUGAAAACUCACAGCUUAACUGUGGGCGUGCGGGCGAUACGGGCAGACUAGAGUACGGCAGGGGAGACUGGAAUUCCUGGUGUAGCGGUGAAAUGCGCAGAUAUCAGGAGGAACACCGGUGGCGAAGGCGGGUCUCUGGGCCGUAACUGACGCUGAGGAGCGAAAGCGUGGGGAGCGAACAGG
rnacentral:rRNA from 1 species